GCGAAGGCGGAGCCAGCAGCCGGAGUAAGACAGUGGUGUGGAGGGGUAGGGGGAAUCAGUGGGCGGAAAGCGGGUGUGGGCGGACUGGUAAGGACCUUGUGGAAUCCCACGGCUGAACCGUGGAACGGCUGGGUAUACUGCUUGGCGUGGGCCAUCUAGGGGUGACCGGAACAAACGGUGGAGCGGUGAAAUGCGUAGAUAUCGUGUGGAACGCCAAUGGUGAAAACAGGUAACUGGGGAUGUGCCGACGCUGAGACACGAAAGCCAGGGGAGCGAACGGGAUUAGAUACCCUGGUCGUC
rnacentral:rRNA from 1 species